rnacentral:rRNA from 1 species
UGGGGAAUAUUGCACAAUGGGCGCAAGCCUGAUGCAGCCAUGCCGCGUGUAUGAAGAAGGCCUUCGGGUUGUAAAGUACUUUCAGCGGGGAGGAAGGGAGUAAAGUUAAUACCUUUGCUCAUUGACGUUACCCGCAGAAGAAGCACCGGCUAACUCCGUGCCAGCAGCCGCGGUAAUACGGAGGGUGCAAGCGUUAAUCGGAAUUACUGGGCGUAAAGCGAGCGCAGGCGGUUUCUUAAGUCUGAUGUGAAAGCCCCCGGCUCAACCGGGGAGGGUCAUUGGAAACUGGGAGACUUGAGUGCAGAAGAGGAGAGUGGAAUUCCAUGUGUAGCGAUGAAAUGCGUAGAUAUAUGGAGGAACACCAGUGGCGAAGGCGGCUCUCUGGUCUGUAACUGACGCUGAGGCUCGAAAGCGUGGGGAGCAAACAGG